rnacentral:rRNA from 1 species
GAUGAACGCUGGCGGCGUGCCUAAUACAUGCAAGUCGAGCGAACAGACGAGGAGCUUGCUCCUCUGACGUUAGCGGCGGACGGGUGAGUAACACGUGGAUAACCUACCUAUAAGACUGGGAUAACUUCGGGAAACCGGAGCUAAUACCGGAUAAUAUAUUGAACCGCAUGGUUCAAUAGUGAAAGACGGUUUUGCUGUCACUUAUAGAUGGAUCCGCGCCGCAUUAGCUAGUUGGUAAGGUAACGGCUUACCAAGGCAACGAUGCGUAGCCGACCUGAGAGGGUGUGCGGCCCAACGGGAACGGGGACCCGGUCCAGACUCCUACGGGGGGCAGCAGUAGGGAAUCUUCCGCAAUGGGCGAAAGCCUGACGGAGCAACGCCGCGUGAGUGAUGAAGGUCUUCGGAUCGUAAAACUCUGUUAUUAGGGAAGAACAAAUGUGUAAGUAACUAUGCACGUCUUGACGGUACCUAAUCAGAAAGCCACGGCUAACUAC